rnacentral:rRNA from 1 species
AUUGAACGCUGGCGGCAUGCCUUACACAUGCAAGUCGAACGGUAACAGGUCUUCGGAUGCUGACGAGUGGCGAACGGGUGAGUAAUACAUCGGAACGUGCCUAGUAGUGGGGGAUAACUACGCGAAAGAGUGGCUAAUACCGCAUGAGAUCUACGGAUGAAAGCAGGGGAUCGCAAGACCUUGUGCUACUAGAGCGGCCGAUGGCAGAUUAGGUAGUUGGUGGGAUAAAAGCUUACCAAGCCGACGAUCUGUAGCUGGUCUGAGAGGACGAUCAGCCACACUGGGACUGAGACACGGCCCAGACUCCUACGGGAGGCGGCAGUGGGGAAUUUUGGACAAUGGGCGCAAGCCUGAUCCAGCAAUGCCGCGUGCAGGAUGAAGGCCUUCGGGUUGUAAACUGCUUUUGUACGGAACGAAAAGCCCUGGGUUAAUACCCUGGGGUCAUGACGGUACCGUAAGAAUAAGCACCGGCUAACUACGUGCCAGCCGCCGCCGUAAAAC